rnacentral:rRNA from 1 species
GGUUAAGCGAAUAAGCGUACACGGUGGAUGCCUAGGCAAUCAGAGGCGAUGAAGGACGUGCUAAUCUGCGAAAAGCGUCGGUAAGGUGAUAUGAACCGUUAUACCCGACGAUAUCCGAAUGGGGAAACCCAGUAUCCAAUGGAUACUAUCAUUAACUGAAUCCAUAGGUUAAUGAGGCGAACCGGGAGAACUGAAACAUCUCAGUACCCCGAGGAAAAGAAAUCAACCGAGAUUCCCCUAGUAGCGGCGAGCGAACGGGGAGCAGCCCAGAGUCUUAAUCAAUAACAGUGUCAGGAGAACGGUCUGGAAAGUCCGGCAGUAAAGGGUGAUAGCCCCGUAUCUGAAGAUGCUGUUAUUGUGAACUCGACGAGUAGGGCGGGACACGUGUUAUCCUGUCUGAAUAUGGGGGGACCAUCCUCCAAGGCUAAAUACUCCUGAUUGACCGAUAGUGAACCAGUACCGUGAGGGAAAGGCGAAAAGAACCCCGGCGAGGGGAGUGAAAAAGAACCUGAAACCGUGUACGUACAAGCAGUAGGAGCCCCAUCACUCAAGUGCCUCGCACUGAGUGAUGCAAGAACAUCACCGAAAAUAGCGCCGAAUUUGCUAACAAGGUUGGUCGAUUUUUUCAAGCCGUCGCGCAGUGUACCUAGAAGUACACGAGCAACGGAAGUUAAAAAAUCGGGCAAGAUUGAACGCAAAGGCAAGCGGGACAUUUGAGGAUGGGGUGACUGCGUACCUUUUGUAUAAUGGGUCAGCGACUUAUAUUCUGUAGCAAGGUUAACCGUAUAGGGGAGCCGUAGGGAAACCGAGUCUUAACUGGGCGAAUGAGUUGCAGGGUAUAGACCCGAAACCCGGUGAUCUAUCCAUGGGCAGGUUGAAGGUUGGGUAACACUAACUGGAGGACCGAACCGA